rnacentral:rRNA from 1 species
CCUACGGGAGGCAGCAGUGGGGAAUAUUGCACAAUGGGGGAAACCCUGAUGCAGCGACGCCGCGUGAGUGAAGAAGUAAUUCGUUAUGUAAAGCUCUAUCAGCAGGGAAGAAAAUGACGGUACCUGAGUAAGAAGCCCCGGCUAACUACGUGCCAGCAGCCACGGUAAUACGUAGGGGGCAAGCGUUAUCCGGAUUUACUGGGUGUAAAGGGAGCGUAGACGGGAGCGCAAGUCUGGAGUGAAAGGCGGGGGCUCAACCUCUGGACUGCUCUGGAAACUGUACGGCUUGAGUGCAGGAGAGGCAAGUGGAAUUCCUAGUGUAGCGGUGAAAUGCGUAGAUAUUAGGAGGAACACCAGUGGCGAAGGCGGCCUACUGGACUGCAACUGACGUUGAGGCGCGAAAGCGUGGGGAGCAAACAGGAUUAGAUACCCGAGUAGUC